rnacentral:lncRNA from 1 species
UCUAGAAAUUUACUAUUUAGAAUAGAACAAAGUAAUUUAUUACCAUGUUCUAGCCAAAAAAAGAUAUAAAACAACCAACAAGUAAAAAGACUUUAUUUGAAGAAGAUAAUGAAAUAGAAAAAAUAAAUAAGCAAAUAACAGAGUUAAAUAAUAUUGUAGAAAGUUUAAAUAAAAAGAUAUAAGAUGGAAAGAUUAAUAAUACAAAACAUAGAUUUAAAACAAAGAAUAAAAGAAUUAGAAGAUGAAAAUGAAGAGCAGCAUGAUUUAAUGCUAGCAAAGGAUAAAGUAAUAAAAAAGCAAGAAGAAUUUGUAAUAACUCUUUUAAAAAGGAUAGAUAAUUUAAAAAGAGAAUUAAACAGACAAGCGGACCUAGAAAAUAAGUCCCCUAGUACAGUUUUAUAUUAAUCCGCGACAAGCAAACUAGUGCUUCAAAUCUAGCCCCACAAAUUGGUAUCAGAGCAAGGAAUAGAUUCUAAGAAAUUACCAAAGAUGUCAAAAGAUAAUAAUUUAGAAAACUCAUUCAGAAAAGAUAUACAGCAUAAUCAAAUAUAUACUUUAGAACAUAACAUUAAUGCCUUCUUACCAAUAAGACAGAAGUCUUAUCAGUUAGAUGAAAACAUAAAAGAAAUAGAGUUUUAUAUCUCUGCAGGAAAAGAAAUAUCUGAACAAAAUAUAAGUAGAAAUUUACAAACAGUCAUUAGAAUACAAAAUAAUCAAACAGAAAUAUUGGUAUAUAUCUGUAAAAUAUUAUUUAAAGGUAUCGUAGAACCAACUAAGAAAAUUCCUAUAGCAAUUAGUAAUCUUUCAUAAAUAUUUAAGGAGACGAACAAAGGAAUCGAUAAGGCUGCUCUCCACGACGAUGUUCAUGUUCCUUGCGCAGUGGGGUUCUUUUUAAGAAGCAACUAGAAGAAUUUUCUAAACUUGAAAAACAAUUAGUUGAAAUUAAUAACAAGAUAGUUCAAAUAUUAGAAAAAAUAUAAUGAAUGAUCCACCAAGAGUCUCGGAACAAAUAAAUACGCUAAUAGAAUUAGAUAAACAAAAUAUGGAAAUGCAAAACGAAGUUAUAAACAGACUAAAAGAAAUUAAAAACCCUAAAGAAAAUAAGUAUAAAUACCAAGAACUUAUAGAUUACCUUAAAGAAAAAGGUAAAAAAGAAGAAAUAUCUAGUAGUAAUCAACAAAUAAGCAUAGAUAAAAAACAAUUUUUAGACUUGCUACAAGAAACUGUAAAAACUGAAAAUAAAAAGAAAUGUUUAACAUAAGAAGAAUUAAAAAGCAUUUUAGGAAAGAGCCAAAACCUAAAAUAAUAAUAGUAGAACCUACAGGAUUACCAUCACGAGAAAAAACAUCAUGGAUGAAGUUCAAAAAUUAACUGACCUUCUAGACAAAUGUAAUUUAGACAACAUACAAAUGUCGAAAAUAGAUGACGAAGACAAAGUACAGUCCAAUUAUGUCAGAUUGGAGUAAGUAAUCAGAAUUACCCAGACAUGCAUACAUGUGGUUACGAAGACAAAGAAAUAAUAGAUCA